AACGAACGCUGGCGGCAGGCUUAACACAUGCAAGUCGCGCGCAUCCUUCGGGGUGAGCGGCAGACGGGUGAGUAACGCGUGGGAAUGUACCCUUUGCUACGGAAUAGCUCCGGGAAACUGGAAUUAAUACCGUAUGAGCCCUUCGGGGGACAGAUUUAUCGGCAAAGGAUCAGCCCGCGUUGGAUUAGCUAGUUGGUGGGGGAAAGGCCUACCAAGGCGACGAUCCAUAGCUGGUCUGAAAGGAUGAUCAGCCACAUUGGGACUGAGACAAGGCCCAAACUCCUGCGAGAGGCAGCAGUGGGGAAAAUUGGACAAUGGGCGCAAGCAUUAACCAGGCAGGCCGCGUGAGUUAUGAAGGCCCUAGAGUUGUUAAGCUCUUUCACCGGAGAAGAUAAUGACGGUAUCCGGAGAAGAAGCCCCGGCUAACUUCGUGCCAGCAGCCGCGGUAACAC
rnacentral:rRNA from 1 species